rnacentral:rRNA from 1 species
UGGGGAAUAUUGCACAAUGGGCGAAAGCCUGAUGCAGCAACGCCGCGUGAAGGAAGACGGUUUUCGAUUGUAAACUUCUGUUCUUAGUGAAGAAUAAUGACGGUAACUAAGGAGCAAGCCACGGCUAACUACGUGCCAGCAGCCGCGGUAAUACGUAGGUGGCAAGCGUUGUCCGGAAUUACUGGGUGUAAAGGGAGCGUAGGCGGGAAGCCAAGUCAGCUGUGAAAACUACGGGCUUAACCUGUAGACUGCAGUUGAAACUGGCUUUCUUGAGUGAAGUAGAGGUUGGCGGAAUUCCGAGUGUAGCGGUGAAAUGCGUAGAUAUUCGGAGGAACACCGGUGGCGAAGGCGGCCAACUGGGCUUUAACUGACGCUGAGGCUCGAAAGUGUGGGGAGCAAACAGGAUUAGAUACCC